CCACGUUGAUAUCUAGAGGAUGAGAGAGAGGGGAGAUGUGUGGACGACCUGGGCCCUUCCUCCAGCAGAGCUCCUCCACUCUUUUAGCCAAGGAGCAUCAGCCAUAGUACCUCUUUUCUCCUACUACCACAGCACAAAAACGAUGAACGGAACUAAAGGGGAGGAGAGAGCGUGAUGGGAAGCGUUACCUAAAGCCCGCAGGUAAUUGUCCAUGUUCUCUUGGGAGACGAAGCGGUAAUAGCCGGUGAGGUUGGGAGGCAUGCCGGGGCAGUGGGACGCGGCGGACGGCGCGGAGAAAAGAGCGCAAGCAGCUGGGCAGCAGCGGAGCUGGGACCGAGCUGGCUCGCCGAGCGGACCGGUGGCUCUCCCGC